rnacentral:rRNA from 1 species
UAACGAAUCUUCCGCAAUGGGCGCAAGCCUGACGGAGCAAUGCCGCGUGUGGGAUGAAGCGUCUCUGACGUGUAAACCACUGUCAGGGGUUAGAAACAAUGAUCAACCCCAAAGGAAGUGGCGACUAACUCUGUGCCAGCAGUCGCGGUAAUACAGAGGCCACAAGCGUUAGUCGGAAUCACUGGGCUUAAAGGGUGCGUAGGCUGGUCCGCAAGCGUCUUGUGAAAGCCCUCGGCUCAACCGAGGAACAGCAGGGCGAACUGCGGAUCUUGAGGCAGGUAGGGGUCGCGAGAACAGUAGGUGGAGCGGUGAAAUGCGUAGAUAUCUACUGGAAUGCCGAUGGUGAAGACGCGCGACUGGGCCUGCCCUGACGCUGAGGCACGAAAGCGUGGGGAGCAAACAGGAUU